AUUGAACGCUGGCGGCAUGCCUUACACAUGCAAGUCGAACGGCAGCACGGGUGCUUGCACCUGGUGGCGAGUGGCGAACGGGUGAGUAAUACAUCGGAACAUGUCCUGUAGUGGGGGAUAGCCCGGCGAAAGCCGGAUUAAUACCGCAUACGAUCUACGGAUGAAAGCGGGGGCCCUUCGGGCCUCGCGCUAUAGGGUUGGCCGAUGGCUGAUUAGCUAGUUGGUGGGGUAAAGGCCUACCAAGGCGACGAUCAGUAGCUGGUCUGAGAGGACGACCAGCCACACUGGGACUGAGACACGGCCCAGACUCCUACGGGAGGCAGCAGUGGGGAAUUUUGGACAAUGGGCGAAAGCCUGAUCCAGCAAUGCCGCGUGUGUGAAGAAGGCCUUCGGGUUGUAAAGCACUUUUGUCCGGAAAGAAAUACUUGGCCCUAAUACGGUCGGGGGAUGACGGUACCGGAAGAAUAAGCACCGGCUAACUACGUG
rnacentral:rRNA from 1 species